rnacentral:rRNA from 1 species
CGGGUAAGUUCCGACCUGCACGAAUGGCGUAAUGAUGGCCAGGCUGUCUCCACCCGAGACUCAGUGAAAUUGAACUCGCUGUGAAGAUGCAGUGUACCCGCGGCAAGACGGAAAGACCCCGUGAACCUUUACUAUAGCUUGACACUGAACAUUGAGCCUUGAUGUGUAGGAUAGGUGGGAGGCUUUGAAGUGUGGACGCCAGUCUGCAUGGAGCCGACCUUGAAAUACCACCCUUUAAUGUUUGAUGUUCUAACGUGGACCCGUAAUCCGGGUUGCGGACAGUGUCUGGUGGGUAGUUUGACUGGGGCGGUCUCCUCCUAAAGAGUAACGGAGGAGCACGAAGGUUGGCUAAUCCUGGUCGGACAUCAGGAGGUUAGUGCAAUGGCAUAAGCCAGCUUGACUGCGAGCGUGACGGCGCGAGCAGGUGCGAAAGCAGGUCAUAGUGAUCCGGUGGUUCUGAAUGGAAGGGCCAUCGCUCAACGGAUAAAAGGUACUCCGGGGAUAACAGGCUGAUACCGCCCAAGAGUUCAUAUCGACGGCGGUGUUUGGCACCUCGAUGUCGGCUCAUCACAUCCUGGGGCUGAAGUAGGUCCCAAGGGUAUGGCUGUUCGCCAUUUAAAGUGGUACGCGAGCUGGGUUUAGAACGUCGUGAGACAGUUCGGUCCCUAUCUGCCGUGGGCGCUGGAGAACUGAGGGGGGCUGCUCCUAGUACGAGAGGACCGGAGUGGACGCAUCACUGGUGUUCGGGUUGUCAUGCCAAUGGCACU